ACACACCCAGGAGCUCCAGCCUGUUAUGGGAUGGGCAUCCUACCAGGAACCAAGGAUGCUAAGAUGUCCUCCAAAAUGGAUUGCCUCAUAUCUAGUACCCGCCUGCUGCAGGCUUCUUCAUCUAGUUCCUCUGGGGACACACUGUGCAGCUAAUUCAUCCAGGCAGAUUCACUGGGAAGCUGUUGCUCAUGAGGGUGUAAUGAAGAAUCUCCAGGUGGAGAAAUGAUCCUGAAUUAUCCAGUGGGCCCUACAUGUCACCACAUUGCGAUCCUUCUAAGUAGGAAGCAGAAGAUCUGACACAUGCAGGAGAGGGGAAGGCAAUGUGACCAUGGAGGCAGAGAGGGGAGUGAUGUGGCCACAAACCAAGGAUUGUUGGCAGCUGCCAGUGGCCGAAGGGGCAAUGAAUGGAUUCUCCUUUGGAGCCUCUGGAGGGAGAAUGGCCCUGCUAACACCUUGAUUUUGGCCCAGUGAUACUGAUUUUGGACUUCUGCCCUCUAGAACUGUGAGGGAAUACUUUUCUGUUGCUUUAAGCCAUUGAAUUUAUGAUGAUUUGUUACAGCACCCACAGGAAACAAAUGCAUGGAUCUAACUUGAACCUAGUGAGUUAGAUUACUUCAGGGAAACACAAUAAAUAGUUAACAGGGCUUGUCAGGGGGGUGGGAGUGAGAUGAAAGUGUGAAG
rnacentral:lncRNA from 1 species